UACAUGGGGGUGCAAACGUUGCUCGGAAUUAUUGGGCGUAAAGCGCACGUAGGCGGUUCGUUAAGUCGGAUGUGAAAGCCCUCGGCUCAACUGAGGAAGUGCACCCGAAACUGGCGAGCUUGAGUACGAAAGAGGAUCGCGGAAUUCCCGGUGUAGAGGUGAAAUGCGUAGAGAUCGGGAGGAACACCAGUGGCGAAGGCGGCCCUCUGGGCCGGGCCUGCGCUGAGACGCGAGGCGUGGGAGCGAACGGGAU
rnacentral:rRNA from 1 species